rnacentral:misc_RNA from 1 species
UCCCAGGCCCACCACUUUCAUCGAGUGAGCAUUCGUCUUCUGGUUACGGGGCCAUAGCUCAGCUGGGAGAGCGCGUGCUUUGCAAGCAUGAGGUCGUCGGUUCGAUCCCGUCUGGCUCCACCAGAUGGUUUGAUCACCUGCGACUGACCGUCGUCCGCGAAACAUCACUUCGCAUUCACUAGUCUGGAUAGACAGUGAACUGCGUGUUUUCUGACAUCGUAAAGAGGAGAUCGAUCCGAGUUGGGUCGUGCAGCAGAUUGUUGCGCGGAUCCUUCAUUAUCUCCGGAUCAUUUUCGGCGCUCGCUUUCAGCCGUGAGGCUGAACGCGAGUUGUAAAAUGAUCCUUUUAGCGAAGCUUGACCGCCUCGCUAUCGGAACGAUCUUACGAAGCAAGCUGGUCUUUCUAGUCAAUGUCCGGCUGUGAGAAUAGCGCUCGUCGAGGGCGCGUGCCGCAAGGCGGUUCUUACAGGCAGCAUUCUGCCGAGUGUGUGGACAUUGAUAAUGAGAGCAAUCAAGUGCCUUAAGGGUGUUCGGUGGAUGCCUUGGCGCUGAGAGGCGAUGAAGGACGUGCUACGCUGCGAUAAGCCGUGGGGAGCUGCGAAGAAGCUUUGAUCCGCGGAUUUCCGAAUGGG